rnacentral:rRNA from 1 species
ACCUUUUGUAUAAUGGGUCAGCGACUUAUAUUCUGUAGCAAGGUUAACCGAAUAGGGGAGCCGGAGGGAAACCGAGUCUUAACCGGGCGUUAAGUUGCAGGGUAUAGACCCGAAACCCGGUGAUCUAGCCAUGGGCAGGUUGAAGGUUGGGUAACACUAACUGGAGGACCGAACCGACUAAUGUUGAAAAAUUAGCGGAUGACCUGUGGCUGGGGGUGAAAGGCCAAUCAAACCGGGAGAUAGCUGGUUCUCCCCGAAAGCUAUUUAGGUAGCGCCUCGUGAAUUCAUCUCCGGGGGUAGAGCACUGUUUCGGCUAGGGGGCCAUCCCGGCUUACCAACCCGAUGCAAACUGCGAAUACCGGAGAAUGUUAUCACGGGAGACACACGGCGGGUGCUAACGUCCGUCGUGAAGAGGGAAACAACCCAGACCGCCAGCUAAGGUCCCAAAGUCAUGGUUAAGUGGGAAACGAUGUGGGAAGGCCCAGACAGCCAGGAUGUUGGCUUAGAAGCAGCCAUCAUUUAAAGAAAGCGUAAUAGCUCACUGGUCGAGUCGGCCUGCGCGGAAGAUGUAACGGGGCUAAACCAUGCACCGAAGCUGCGGCAGCGAACGUAUCACCCAAGACAACUUUACGGAGUUGACGAUUGACGGAGCGAAGCGACGUCAAAGCGUUCAUUAAAGUCGAGUUGGCUUAGGGAUACGUUCGUUGGGUAGGGGAGCGUUCUGUAAGCCUG